rnacentral:rRNA from 1 species
GACAGAGGGGGCAAGCGUUGCUCGGAAUUACUGGGCGUAAAGGGCGCGUAGGCGGGAUGGCAAGUCGGUCGUGAAAUCCCUCGGCUCAACCGAGGAACGUCGAUCGAUACUGCUGUUCUUGAGGAUUGGCAGAGGAGACUGGAAUUCCCGGUGUAGCGGUGAAAUGUGUAGAGAUCGGGAGGAACACCGGUGGCGAAGGCGGGUCUCUGGGCAAUUCCUGACGCUGAGGCGCGAAAGCGUGGGGAGCAAACGGG